GGUUCCGUUAGCUCGCCCGAGGUUGCCGCAAGGCCUCCCGGGCAACCUACCACCCUUUGUUUAUUACACUUUGUUGCUUUGGCAGGCCUGCCCUCGGGCUGCUGGCUCCGGCCGGCGAGCGUCUGCCAGAGGACCUAAACUCUGUUUGUCUAUACUGUCUGAGUACUAUAUAAUAGUUAAAACUUUCAACAACGGAUCUCUUGGUUCUGGCAUCGAUGAAGAACGCAGCGAAAUGCGAUAAGUAAUGUGAAUUGCAGAAUUCAGUGAAUCAUCGAAUCUUUGAACGCACAUUGCGCCCCCUGGUAUUCCGGGGGGCAUGCCUGUCCGAGCGUCAUUACAACCCUCAAGCUCAGCUUGGUGUUGGGCCCCGCCGCCCCGGCGGGCCCUAAAGUCAGUGGCGGUGCCGUCCGGCUCCGAGCGUAGUAAUUCUUCUCGCUCUGGAGGCCCGGUCGUGUGCUCGCCAGCAACCCCCAAUUUUUUUCAGGUUGACCUCGGAUCAGGUAGGGAUACCCGCUGAACUUAAGCAUAUCUAAAAGGGGAAAGGAAACCC
rnacentral:rRNA from 1 species